rnacentral:tRNA from 1 species
CGCAGGGUAGAGGAGUUCGGCCGUCCUCGCCGGUCUCAUAAGCCGGAGCAUCGUGGGUUCAAAUCCCACCCCUGCCCCCA